CAGCAGCCAGUUCUCCCUCCUCUCUGCAGUCUCACAGUCUGCAGAGAGGAGGCCAGUGCUUACAUCCAAAUUCAGACAGCACUGUCCAACUAUGAAAAUUUUUGAUUUAAAAAGCCCAGCAAAUGCAAAAAAGAUCUACCUGUUACUACAGUGCAGAUUAGAGGAGGCAAACUUGUGUUUUGCAUCUGAUAUCAGAAUUCUGUCAGCACAGAUGGUUACCAGUUCCAGAUAUUGCUUCUCAUAUAC